UACGUAGGGAGCAAGCGUUGUCCGGAAUCAUUGGGCGUAAAGCGCGCGUAGGCGGCCCUGUAAGUCCGCUGUGAAAGUCAAAGGCUCAACCUUUGAAAGCCGGUGGAUACUGCAGGGCUAGAGUCCGGAAGAGGCGAGUGGAAUUCCUGGUGUAGCGGUGGAAUGCGCAGAUAUCAGGAGGAACACCAAUAGCGAAGGCAGCUCGCUGGGACGGUACUGACGCUAAGGCGCGAAAGCGUGGGGAGCAAACAGG
rnacentral:rRNA from 1 species